rnacentral:rRNA from 1 species
GUGAAGGAAGAAGGCUUUCGGGUUGUAAACUUCUUUUGUCGGGGGCGAAACAAAUGACGGUACCCGACGAAUAAGCCACGGCUAACUACGUGCCAGCAGCCGCGGUAAUACGUAGGUGGCAAGCGUUAUCCGGAUUUACUGGGUGUAAAGGGCGUGUAGGCGGGAUUGCAAGUCAGAUGUGAAAACUGGGGGCUCAACCUCCAGCCUGCAUUUGAAACUGUAGUUCUUGAGUGCUGGAGAGGCAAUCGGAAUUCCGUGUGUAGCGGUGAAAUGCGUAGAUAUACGGAGGAACACCAGUGGCGAAGGCGGAUUGCUGGACAGUAACUGACGCUGAGGCGCGAAAGCGUGGGGAGCAAACAGGAUUAGAUACCCUGGUAGUCCACGCCGUAAACGAUGGAUUCUAGGUGUGGGGGGUCUGACCCCCUCCGUGCCGCAGUUAACACAAUAAGGUAUCCCACCUGGGGAGUACGAUCGCAAGGUUGAAACUCAAAGGAAUUGACGGGGGCCCGCACAAGCGGUGGAGUAUGUGGUUUAAUUCGAAGCAACGCGAAGAACCUUACCAGGGCUUGACAUCCCACUAACGAAGCAGAGAUGCAUUAGGUGCCCUUCGGGGAAAGUGGAGACAGGUGGUGCAUGGUUGUCGUCAGCUCGUGUCGUGAGAUGUUGGGUUAAGUCCCGCAACGAGCGCAACCCUUAUUGUUAGUUGCUAUGCAAGAGCACUCUAGCGAGGCUGCCGUUGACAAAACGGAGGAAGGUGGGGAAGACGUCAAAUCAUCAUGCCCUUUAUGUCUUGGGCCACCCAGGUAUUCCAAUGGUGGUUAACAGAGGGAGGCAAUGCCGCGAGGUGGAGCAAAUCCCUAAAAGCCAUCCCAGUUGGGAUGGCCGGGUGAAACCCGCGUGUAUGAAGUGGGAAUCGCUAGUAAUCGCGGAUCAGCAUGCGGCGGGGAAUAAGAUCCCGGGCCUUGUACACGCCGCCCGUCA